rnacentral:rRNA from 1 species
UACGAAGGGAGCGAGCGUUAUUCGGAAUUACUGGGCGUAAAGGACGCGUAGGCGGUUUAUUAAGUUAGUUGUUAAAUUCCAGGGCUUAACCCUGGGCCAGCAAUUAAUACUGAUGGAACUAGAGUGUAGAAGAGAGGGGUGGAAUUCUCGGAGUAGCGGUAAAAUGCGUAGAUCUCGAGAGGAACACCGAUGGCGAAGGCAGCCCCUUGGUCUAUAACUGACGCUAAAGCGUGAAAGCGUGGGGAGCAAACAGG